CCAGGAACCUCCAAGAACGACCGUGCAUGCGCUGAAUGCUGAAACGAGCACAGAGGUCAACCCAAGGAUCAAAGCCAAAGAAAGCAGCGGUUCGACCAACCAAAAAGCAGAUUUCCAUAGACGAUAGUAAACCAUCAAACCAAGAACCUCCAGGAACAACCGCGCAUGCGCUGAAUGCUGAAACGAGCAGAGAGGUCAACCCAAGGAUCAAAGCCAAAGAAA
rnacentral:lncRNA from 1 species